UCUCAAGCUGGAGAGAGAGAACAUUACAUCCACAGCGCAGGAGCGAAGGGAAUGAGACAAUCGCAUACAGGUUACACUCGUGCGUGAUUUCAUAAAUUAAAUGUUGCAUCUCCUCUUACGUCCAUGCAUGAACACUGUAAGCAUGCUUUUCAAGGGAGGAAUUCCCCAUCUUGGAAAUUAAACUGCAUGUUCCCUUCUCUGGAUGGCUGAGAUGCGACAUUCGAUGGUUGUAAUACUCAAGGACUGCGAGUUUUGAAUGGAAAACGCAUCACUGAAGAGAUGUACGAAGAGUUGGGCUUUUGACCAGAUGCUUCUGCGCUGCUCAGAGAUUUUAGCGUCAUGUUCUUCAACGCAAGACGCACGGGAUCCUCUAUUUGUCCCCGACACACGGCCACUCGUAGCCUACUUUCUGCCAGAGAGGAAUAUGCACGUCAAUUGUUAAAAGUCAACUCUAUGAGAUGUUCCACAUUAAAAAAAAGUGUUGACAGGAGGUAGUUGCUAUCUUUGGUUAUCUAGCUGUAUGAGUGUUUAUCUUCCUUCAUAAAGCUAGAUAACCGAAAGUAGAAACGUCCUCCUUAACUGCAUAGUGGACAAGUUGGGAAGGAAAUGAUCGCAGGGAACUGCAUGAGCCUCUCAAACUGCUUUGUCUUUGUGAGAGACCAGAGGACUGGAGCUAAGGGGAAAAACGCCAUCUGCUCCCCUCCCUUCUUCGUCAACGGAAGCAUUUAGUGCCAUCUGUGCCCCCGGAGAAACGAGGAAAAAAAGAAAAGAGUGAGACUCUUCAUCCCAAGUGCCAAUGGGGACAAAGAGGCUGCCAGUUGCCACGGACCACCAGAUGCAGGAAGACUGCAAGUCUGAAUGAGGGGUGUGCUUUCAGGAAGCCAUCUUGAUGGAGAAACUGGCUGCUGCUCCCUAAAAUGGCUGUGUUGGCAUGAGGCUCCUGGCAAUGAAACUCUAGAAAAAAUUUCCAUCGUUUUCAUCAGCUGCUGGAGAAACCAUGGCCAUCCUGCUAUGUUUGACUCAAAUGGUCAAUCACAUCACCUCAGUAAUACAGCAUCCAGCAUCUCUUCCAGAUGGUUCGCUGUGAAAAUUUAACAAGCAGAUGAUUUCAAAUGUGCACUAAUUGUCUUAAAACUUUGCAGACAAUCAGUAAUACUGGAUGGGUGUGUGGACUUGGGCAGUUCACCUAGUUAACGUUGUUGUACAACGUGUUGUGCAAUCUUAUCAGUGCUGUGUAAACUGAAGCAUAAUGUGUCUUAAUGUGUGAAAAGUUUAUAAUGAAAGUAGUUGUUAUUGAAACAUGCCAGUGCAAUCCCUAUUUAAAAAAAAUAGUAUUUUCAAUUACCUUUCAUGUUAGUCAUCCACAUUUAAUGUUAUUAUAUUAUAAACUGCACCCGUUGAUGUACAGAAAAUUGGUUAAUCCAGAUAUUUUGUAUGGCUACUGUAUGUAUGGUUUAAUACAAGAAUUAUGCUCAGUUUCUCUCUGAAUUAUCAUUUGUCUGAUUAUGUGAUAUGUGAAACAAACUUAUUAAACUGCACAAAUAAACAA